ensembl:lncRNA
GGGGCCCAGAUGGCGUUCCAGCGCUCGCUCACUGCAGACUGCAGCCAUGUGAAAGUGCUCUGCUCACGCCUCAACAGUAGCUGAACGCCUGUGGCGGAAAAUCUGUGGAAGAUGGUUGGGAUUCAGGCCAAACUCAUCAGGGAUAUAUAAGAGUCCAUCUGGAAAUCUGCCCACCGUGGAAAGCUUGAGCUGGAUGACACUGCAAGCUGUUUUUCUCCCUGGAAGACCUUUCCAUCACAGGCGACAAGGCUCUUGCCCAGUCUGCCAAAACACUCAAUGCAACGACAGGAUGUAGAGUGAAG